rnacentral:lncRNA from 1 species
AUCCGCCUCCUGUUAUAUGGGCAGUGGCAUUAGAGUCUCAUAGAAGCGUAAACCCUAUUGUGAACUGCACAUGCCAGGGAUUUAAGUUGUGCUCUGCUUAUGGUAAUCUAAUUCCUGAUGAUGUGUAACUGUCUUCCAUUAUCCCCAGAAGGUGUUGUCUGGUUGCAGGAAAACACUCUCAGGGAUCCCACUGAUUCUACACUAUGCUUUUAAUCAUGCAAUUCUGCUAUCAUAGUCCUAGCUAAUUGAACAAGGGCUGACCUGACCCAGGAGAAGCCAUCUACAGAUUGCCCAGUGGUCCAUGAGGGAUCUGCGUAUAGAUUUCCGUCCAAUUAUAGUGCCAUAAGCUGGGAUGGUGUCUCAUCAACCCAAUGGGAUGCUCUUUCUCAGACAAGGACUAAAAC